UAUUUUUUUAUUCUCUCUCACACGAUUCUCUCCCCCUCUCUCACACACGGUUAUCUCACAACAACUUUAUCUCUCUCUUUCAGAUACUCUCGGUUAUCUCACAAUAUAUAUUUGUUGUAUUUCUCUCUGCACGUAUAUAGAUAUAUCAUCUCCAAAAUCAGAUUUUUCUUCAUCUUCUUUUAUGAUUCAGCUUCUAUUUCUCUAUAUCUUUCCAUAAAGCUUUAGAAUACUGUGAUUUGCUAUCGGAUUCAGGACUGCGGGAAACCAGUCUAUUUAGAUCUAAUUUUUACUGAGGACAUUCAACCAGAUCCAAGAAGAACAAAAUAUAGAUGAAGAUGAAGGGAGGAAAAUCUAAGGCCAAGCGGUGGACAAAAAGUUAUAUAUAUAUAUAUAUUUUUUUCUUCCUUUUUUCUUAUAUGCAUAUAAUUUUUUUUCAAUCACAACCGAUUUUAAAAUAUUUUAAUGUAUAACCGAUUGUGGAUUUUGUUGUCUACUUUCGUAAUUCAAUUACUUUGGUUGAUCAUAGUUUACAAUUAUUUUUACAGAUCUAUUUGCUGACCUUGCUGAAGAUGUUGAUGA